UACGGAGGUGGCAAGCGUUGCUCGGAAUCACUGGGCGUAAAGGGCGCGUAGGCGGGGAGGUAAGUCGGGUGUGAAAUCCCUCGGCCCAACUGAGGAACUGCGCCCGAGACUGCUUCUCUUGAGUCCCGGAGAGGAAGAUGGAAUUCCCGGUGUAGCGGUGAAAUGUGUAGAGAUCGGGAGGAACACCGGUGGCGAAGGCGGGUCUCUGGGCCGAUAUUGACGCUGAGGAGCGAAAGCGUGGGGAGCAAACAGG
rnacentral:rRNA from 1 species